rnacentral:misc_RNA from 1 species
GGGAUUUGAUUAGUUCGGACAGGAUACUCGAGAUGAGGCGCCUUAGCUCCAAGGAAUCCACCAACAAGUGUAAGAGGCACCGAAAUGCAGAACCAAAGCAUGAGUAGAAUAAUGUAUAGCGAAAUCGGAAUCGCCCCGGUACUAUGACUCCCCCACAAGAGAAAAUUCAGAACCGUCAGUAUCAGAAAUGCAAUCCCCGGAAAGAAGCAAGCAACCUUCCACGACACCGAUUUCCACCCAGAAUGAUCCCCACCUCUAAUGGUCUUCCAUAGCCUAACACCAGCAUAACCAGCAGCAAUCCCAAGAAUGAGGUAGAAGAACAGCAUACCAGUGACCAG